rnacentral:rRNA from 1 species
UACGUAGGGUGCAGGCGUUAAUCGGAAUUACUGGGCGUAAAGCGUGCGCAGGCGGUCUGCUAAGAGAGAUGUGAAAUCCCCGGGCUUAACCUGGGAACUGCGUUUCUAACUGGCAGGCUUGGGUGUGGCAGAGGGGGGUGGAAUUCCACGUGUAGCAGUGAAAUGCGUAGAGAUGUGGAGGAACACCGAUGGCGAAGGCAGCCCCCUGGGCUAAAACUGACGCUCAUGCACGAAAGCGUGGGGAGCAAACAGG